rnacentral:tRNA from 1 species
GUUUUAAUAGUUUAAAAAUAAAACACUGGUCUUGGUAAACCAAAAAUAAGAUUUACUUUUAAAACU